GAUCCUCCCACCUCGGCCUCCCAAAGUGCUGGGACAGGCGUGAGCCACUGCGUUGGCCAUUUCUAUUCGUUUUUGAUUUUGAGAAUUGCUUUUCUUUUUGUGUUUGUUUUGACUUAAAAAAUCAAUCAUGUACCCAGUUCCAAAGUCAAAACUGUAACAAGUAACAACCAAGUCAAUCCCCCUUGCAUCUCUGUUCUCUAUCCUUGUUCUUCCCCCUUUUCCGUUUGUUUUUGGUUUAUUUUUCCAUGCUUCUUUUUGCACAUACAGCAAGUAUGUAUAGUGAAUCAAAUUCCAUCCUCCUUUCUUACACAAAAUUAGCGUAUUCCAUCUAUAGUACUGCACCUUGCCUUUUGUUGCACUAUGUCCUGGACCUUGCUCUACAUGCUGUACAGCGUUUUUCAUAGUUAUUCACCCGGUGUGGAUACUACAGUGUAUUCAACUGUCCUCUGAUGAUAGACAUUUGCAUUCUUUACGGUCCUUUGUAAAUACAAACAAUGCUGCAAUGCAUAUAUCAUUCCACAUAUUCUCCAAGGUAUAUUUAGGACAGAUCCCAGAAGAGGAAUUUCUGGGUCAAUGGGCAAGUGUAUUUUGCUGAUUACUAUCCACCUUCCUCCUGUCGGGUUCCAUUUUGUGUUACUAUCAGCAAGGUAUGAGAAUGACUGUUUCUCCAUAGAACUGGAACUUUUACAGUUAAUUUUAUCUCACCUUUUCUUCAAUCUCCAUGUACUUUUACUUUCUAUUUUAAAGAAUAUAAUUCACAUUUCUCUAGUGGUUGUGAGUCUGUGUGUAGUGUGAGAAUCUAGUGACAACCGUUCUAAGGUGGCAUGAGAAUGGGCAGCUCAGCUCAGAGUUUAGACCUCAUCUGUUUCCGAUUCCCUGGGGGUUUGGGGGAAUAACUGAGAAAACAAUAGAUUGAUAUGGAGAAACGGAGACUUUGCAGCUUCUCCUGAUUCAGAUAGUCAUUGGGUAACCUUGUUAAAUUUGCUUAAGGUAAUUUCAAGAAUUUCAAUUCUAUAUUCACUUAAAAACACAAAAGUAUAUUACAAAGAAACCUUUAUCAUUUUUAGCUAUUCUUUUUCUUGAAUUCAAGAUUCUAUUUAAGACCUAUAAUUUAUUUAAUAACAGGUUUUAGGGGAGAAAAUGUUGCAAUGAAAAUAUACAUGGAUUCUAAGGUGCCUUUUGAUUUCAGAAUUAUUGAAGUGUAAAGUAAUCAGGUUUUUAGAAUCAAGGAACUAUGGUUCCACUGAAAAUAGAGAGAUAAUAUUGCUUUUCAUUUUUUAACCAGGAACUACAUGACAGUUUCCUAUAUUACCAUUCAUCUGUUUCUGGCUUGGUCUUCUUCGACCUACUUAGACUCGGGAAUACACAUCACUCUCGUUCCUCCUAGUCAGCCUUUCUGUCUUCCUGACAUGUGUAGGUACCUAUUAAGUAAUUUUGUAUAUUUUCCAAAACACUUGUGGUAUGAAAAGGCCAACUGUUAUCAUGGCAAUGAACACUUAUUUUUGCAUUUAAAUUCUAAGAUCUGAUGUCCUAUUUUAGUUAACUUCUAAAUGACUUUAUUUUUUAGAGCAGUUUUAGAGGAAGGUACAGAGAUUUCCCAUGUGCUCCCUGCCCAUACCCAUGUGCAGCCUCCCCAUUACCAAUAUCCCCGCUUAUAAUUGAUGAACUGACAUUGGCAUAUUGUUGUCACCCAGACUCCAUAGUUCCUAUGGGUUCACUCUUGGUGUUGUACAUUCUAUGUGUUUGGACAAAUGUGUAAUGACAUAUAUCCACCUUUAUAAAAAUACAGUGUAUUUUCACUGUCCUAAAAAGCCUCUGUGCUCUGCUAAACACUAAAAUCUAAUGUUCUGUUUUAGUUAAUCUUUAAAAAUGUCUGAAGUAUGGUGAAUACUGCAUAAAAUAUUUAUGUCUCUAAAAUUCCUAUAGUCCAAGCUUGAAACCAUAGUUAAGCUUAAACCAUGUGGUAUUGGAAAUAUAAACCUAAUUUUGUAUCUAUGUUUGAACAAAUCAUGCUGAAUUGUCAGUGGGAUUGUCAGAAGCUUCAUAUUUCCCCUGCUUCCAAGUAUCACUGAUAGCCAACUGGGAGAGAUUUAAUUUGCAUAUUAUUCUCCAAACUUUUUCUGCACCUCAUCUUUUUAAAAACAGCUUUAUCAAGGUACAUUUUAUGUAUCAUAAAGUUCACUCUAUUCAAAUUUGCAGUUCAUUUUUGGUAGAUUUACCAAGUGAUGCAACUAUCAUAAUAAAUCAGUUUUAAAUAACUUUUAUUGUACCAAUAAGGUCCCUUAUGCCCAUUUACAAUUAAUUUCCACCCCAACCUCAGGCAACCACUGUCCUGCUUUCUGUCUCUAUAGAAUUGCCCUUUCUGAAUAUUUCAUAGAAAUGGAAUCACACAGUCACAUGUGAUCUCUUGUGUUUCCCUUUCACUUAGCAGAAUGUUUUCAAGGUUCAUCCACGUUUCAGCAUGUGUCAGUGGUUUGCUGCUUUUCAUUAUUAAAUAGCAUUUCAUCGUAUGGCUGUGCCAUACUCUAUUUAGUAGUUGAUGGACAUUUAGGUGGUUUCCAGUUCUGGGUUAUUAUGAAUAAUGCUGCUAUAACGCUUUGCAUGUAAACCUUUGCAUGGGCAUUUGCAUCCAUUUCUCUUGGGUAGAUACCUAGGAGCAGAAUUGCUCAGCUGUCUGGUAAUUAAAUGCUUACUUUUUUUUAAGAAACUGCCAAACUGUUUUCCACACUGCCUUCUGCAUCUCAUUUUAACAAUUUCUUUAUUGUCAGAGGAAAAAAAUUAUAGUCCCAUCAUUCAUUCACAAAAUUAUUUAUUCCACAUGUAUUUAUUCCACACCUUGUAAAUAAUAUAUAUGAGCAACACAGUUAUUUCUUUCAAGGUACUCACAGUCUGUUGGAGAAGCAGACAAACAACCAGAUAACUAAAUAUAUUAAGAGAGGUCCUGUAAGGGAGGUCUGCGUCUGGGGCUGGAGGCAGACGGGAGGGUACCUAGUCCAGGCUUAAGGGAACAGGGAGAAAGUUUUGGAGAUUGUCACACCUAAGUUGAAUUCCAGAAACUUAUCUAGAGGAAUGAGAUAAGAAGGGCAUUACAGGGCCAGGGAGCAGGAGGAAAGCUGCCUCUCUCACACCCUGGAGCCCUUUACUGAGUGUUUUUUUGUUUGUUUUGAGACUGGAUCUCACUCUGUAGCGCAGGCUGGAGUGCAAGGGGCGCCAUCUCAGCUCACCGCAGCCUUGAACUUCUGGUCUCAAGUAAUCCUCCCACCUUGGCCUCGCAAAGCAUUUGAGAUUAUAGGCAUGAGCCACCACGUCCGGCCAAGAGCAGAGUGUUUAAAGGAGACAUAAGUACUAUAGAUGUGAUUCACAACAUCACAGAGAUGAUCAGCAACCUUUAUGUUUACCCCUUAAUGUUUUAACACCAAUCAUUUUGAUAGAAAUGUGUAUUUAAUGCAGCCUAAUGACAGCAACUGCACGUGAUUCUCUACUGAGAUGAACAAAAUCAGGCACGCUGGGAAAAGCAAAGGAGCUGAACUGUGAGGAAAAAGGCCUUUGAGAUCACAGAACAUCUACAACAAAGUGAAAAGGAAUGUGUUUCUUCUGAAUUUAAGACUAGAUUUGGAAAGACAAGUUUGCACAAUGUCCAAAGGAUGGGUUUGAUACCUCUGGCAGGAAAACAAUUUUUUAUUACAUCAGGAUUUUAAGGGAAGCUUGCAGGUACCAGUACAGAACCUGGAGGAAACUUUUUUCUUUCUUUCUUUUUUUUUUUUUUUUU